AACUAGUGGACAAAAUUUGAGUUAAAACCUAAAACGGCAGCGUCAUGCACUGACCCUUUGCUCAGAUCCAAGCAGCCUAACCCAAACACAACUGUUGGCCUGGCUCUCUGAUCAAACUCAGUUCGAUCCUAGGCGAGUUUUGGCAACACAGAAGCAAAAGUGAUGGGUAUGAGUUUGGAAGGACAAAAGGUGAUAAUGGUACCAUACAUGGAAGCGCAUGUCCCAAAGUACCACGUCUGGAUGCAGGACCCUGCUCUCCUUCAAGCCACCGGAUCAGAGCCCCUCUCCCUCCAAGAGGAAUACGAUAUGCAGCUCUCUUGGAACCAAGACCCUCUCAAGAAAACUUUCAUUGUUUUGGAUAAGGAGAUGGUUGAGGGAAAGUUUGUUCAUGGGGGUCCCCAUGUGGAAGCCAUGGUUGGAGAUGUGAAUAUCUACAUGAAUGAUUUGGAUGACCCUCAAUUGGCAGAGAUUGAAAUUAUGAUAGCUGAACCAAAAAGAAUAGCCGCGGUAAGGGCCUUGGGAAAGAAUCUGUCUUCUUGAUGAUGGCUUAUGCUGUUCAGAAUUUUGGAAUCCAUGUCUUCCGUGCUAAAAUUGGAGAAUCAAAUGGGUCAUCUCUUAGCUUGUUUCGGAAAUUGGGCUUUGAGGAGGCUUCUUAUAGUGAAAUCUUCAAGGAGGUAACAUUGGAGUUGGCAGUGACAGAGCAAAAGCGAGAGGAGCUUUCGCUGUUGUUUGGUGAUGUGGUUACACAUACAUAGCCCAGAAGAGGUUGUAUUUUGUCCCCACCACCCCCCCCCCCCCCUAACUUAUUUACAAAAGGAAACACUUCCAUUGGAAUUAUUUGCAAUCAUGCCGAGAAGCUGAAGUUGGUUAGAGUUGGAGGUAAGCUAUAGUUGUAUUUAUCUUAUAAAAACUCCUCUUAGAGUUGAGUACUUCCAAGGAGGCUAGUUGGAGUGUUAGGAGAGUGCUUGAAAGGCCACUAUUUAAGUUUGAUGAAGGAGCUGAUUUGCUAUUUCCUUCAUGCUUUUCCUAGAGGAUCCAAGACAUAUUUUGACAACCAAAAUAUUGGCAGGACGAGUAUCAAUUAGUAAUAGCGAGUUGUAGAAACCAAAAUUGCAGAUGUAAAUGCCAUUUGCUUGAAUUUAAUGGUUACUACUAUGUUUAAAU